CACGGCCUUUGGUCCCAGCAGUACCUGGGGGUCAGCGUCACCAGCGUUCAGCACCCAACUGUGCGUGGAGCAACACUGGAAUGAUUGAUCAUCACUGUACUGACCAACAUUACUCCCUCAUUAGCAUGCAACUCGUCUGAAUACUUGCGCAGCCCAUAGAACAAUUUAAAAACAACAGUAUUGUUAGUGGCAUACCAAGGGCAGGGUAAGUGGGUCCACCCCAGUGCAGGAAAGAAGCAGUGUCAUCAUCUUCAGAGAAUUCAAAAGUCAUAUCCCAGCCGUUAAUCAUGAGUCUGCUUUCUCUCUCCUUCAUUUUUUAAAUAUGUUUUAAUUGACCUUAUUUUUUAGAGUAGUUUUAAGUUCACAGCAAAACUGAGAGGAAAGUAGAGAGUUCUCAUGCUUCUUAUUAUCAUGCAUCACUAACAAAACUCUUUCCUACGGGGUGGACCACACUUACUGUGCCCCUGACCCCAUGCCACUGGCUGCUCUAAUACUCCUACUUUAUUAUUACAGUGAGUGUUAAUAUCAUUAUUGCUGUGGUUACUGUUACUACAGCAGUUAUCACUUACUACACUCACUGUGUACCCAGGACUCUGCAUGUAUCAUACCAUCUGAUCAACAGAAAGCAAGCAAGAGGCCAGAAAUUUUUCCACACCUUAGUAAAUUAAAGUGAUAAGAUUGACCUGCAUCCACAGCACAUCUCUGCUUUGGCCUGAGAGAUUCAGCAUCCCAUCCUUGGCUGCAAGUUGCAGCAAACGAGAGUCCUGCUGUGGGAGACAGGAGCCCGCCCUCUUCACUGGAUUUCAGGGCAAUUACAUCAUGCAGAGCGGGCAAUUCACUGGCAGCUGGGAGUCAGCAAAACAUCCUUUGGCAGCUGUGGUCUCUUUAAGUAUAUACUAACCCCUUGAAAAGUCACUCUUUUCUUGCAUUUUUUAUCAGGAAGCCCAACAGAAGGCUAGAGGAAAGGAAGAACUUAUGGAUUCACUUGACUCGGAAAAACCCAGAACCAUGAUUAAAUCAACAUGGCUUUCCCUUCCAUCCAUCAAGAGUGAAUAUAAUCUUCUCCCAGACUGUGGUAUCCUCAGGCAGAACCGCCACUUUCAUUGCUCUGAGGAAAGAACACUGAAAACAUGUCCUACAUGUGCGUUUCACUCGGAAAUUCCCAGGGUGGCAGUGGAAGGAGCUGCUCAUGAAGCAGUGCCUUGCUGACUUCACACAAGGAUGGCUGGCUGCCCGGGUGACAGUCCCUGCUGAGCCCAGCAGGCCCCUCCGGCUGGAAUUCAGGGCCCAGUGGGCAACCCUGUUCUCCACCAGGUCCUCGCAGGGAGAGCCCCGGUACCAUUAGUCACCCAGCACUGCGGGACCCCGAGCCUGCUCACUCACCAGGGAAGAUUUCCCCCUCCUUCGUCAGGACACUGGAGUUCCUGUUCUUUCAUCAGGUCCUUAAGUGUUUUCACUGAAAUCUGUAUUCAUUAAUACAAGUCUAGAUAAUAAAAGCCUAAUUGCAUGAUA